rnacentral:rRNA from 1 species
GACGAACGCUGGCGGCGUGGAUUAGGCAUGCAAGUCGAACGGUAUCAUCCUUUCGGGGGUGAGAGAGUGGCGAACUGGUGAGUAACACGUAGGUUAUCUACCCUCAAGACGGGGACAACCCAGGGAAACUUGGGCUAAUACCGGAUGUGAGCAACUUUUAGUUGUUUGAAAGGUGGCGUAAGCUGUCGCUUGGGGAUGAGCCUGCGUCCUAUUAGUUAGUUGGUGAGGUAACGGCUCACCUAGGCAAUGAUAGGUAGGCGGCCUUAACGGGUGGUCGCCCACGACUGGGAUUGAGAUACGGCCCAGACUCCUACGGGAGGCAGCAGUCGAGAAUAGUCUACAAUGGUCGGAAGACUGAUAGUGCGACGCCGCGUGAACGAUGAAUCCCUUCGGGGUGUAAAGUUCUUUUAUAUGUGAGCAGUGCUUCUUAUAUUAACAGUAUGGGGAAGAGAUAUUAGCAUAUGAAUAAGCAAACGGCUAAACUCCGUGCCCAGCAGCCCGGGUAAU